GGGGAUAUAGCCCUAGGGUAGGGUCAUAGGUCUGACCAAUACGUCCUACCCAAGGGCACCUCAUUAUUAGUUUAAGGACUACAAGGGAAAUUCCUACUGGAUCGUGACAACAUCUAAUCCACUCGGUACGGAUCCACUCAGACAGGUACAUUCCAUCCACUCGGAUGACAGUCAACCACUCGGCCGUAUGACUCACUCGGUCAUGCAAAUACCAACAGUCGGCAAGACAUCUGUAGUGGGCUGACAUUAUGGCAUCAAUGCCCCAUCUUGUAACAUAAGAGGUGAGGAGGUGGCGCACUCUAUAUAAGCCACCCCCCNCAGUCGGCAAGACAUCUGUAGUGGGCUGACAUUAUGGCAUCAAUGCCCCAUCUUGUAACAUAAGAGGUGAGGAGGUGGCGCACUCUAUAUAAGCCACCCCCCUCCACAUAGCUAGGGACAUCUUCUUCUUCUUCUCCCCCUGCGGGCUCGUUCCUUCCCUGGAGCUCUGGCUCUCUCUAUACCAUGUAACUCAUGUCCAUGACAGAUAAAACAAAGCCUCUCUGGAGCACGAGACGUAGGGUUGUUAUCUCCACUGUGAGAGGCCCGAACUCGCUAAAACCACCAUGUCACCCAUGUGCAUCUUGAUAGAUCAUGCUCCAUCAUCCUACCCUCUUUCUAUUGUCGGAAUCGUUACCACGACAUUUGGCGCCCACCGUGGGGCAUGGCGUCUAUCGAGCCAUGAUGCAUAUGGUUAUUUCUUCAGCCACCGGCGGCGGAUCGAUUCCGCUGGUGCCCUCUAUUCAGUUUCAUUUUCAUGAUUUAACACAUUUGCUUGUAUUGUUCAUCUCCAAGACGAGCAAAGCAUCGCAAGCAGAAGGAAAACAGACAUCUAUCCAAGCACAUACAUGGAGCACCACCGACCUUCAGGAAACCAACUGCUCCUCCGCACGCGGCCGUCCGCCUCAUCGUCGUCGCGCACGACCACCGGUGCCGUCCGCCUCAUCGUCGUCGCGCACGACCACCGGUGCCGUCCGCCUCAUCGUCGUCGCGCACAACCGCCGGUGCCGUUCGUCUCAUCGUCGUCGCGCACGGUCGCCAGUGCCUUUCGCCUCAGCGUCAUCUCCAACCACGUCGAGCCCCCACACACGACCGCCGCCACCGUUCACCUCGUCGUCGACACGAGCCUUGUUUUCUCGGCCACUCGAGGGUGACCUACGCGGUGGAAGCGCGGGCUCCGUGCGGUGCGGGCGCGCAACGCUUGUUCCUUCAAACGUCGGCCACCGGCGAGGUCUCUGUGACCGAGGCGCACAGCAACGGCGACCUACGAAUCAGCCUCGACCUGCAAGGCUGCAACCGAUGGCCAUCCAACGGUUUGUAAGUGCGUGCGUUACGUGGGCCUGUUCCUUGUUUAGAUUAACUGCAUGCAGGAAAAACGGAAACAGAAGAACGUGGUCUUCAUAGUCCUUCAUGGGAUGGGCUGACGGUUUGCAUAAGGUAAUGGCCUCAUUAACCGUCUCAUCAGGUGAGGAUUUAUGACAUUGGUUUCCUAAUUAGUGUGGCCAAAACAUCUGCCACACUAUUUCCUUCCACGGCCAAUCGUGCAUGCACAUGCAUGCAUGCAUAUUCUCAUUUGUGGUUUUUAUUCAUUGCAAACUAGCAACUAUACAGGACACUUAGUCCAUCAAAAAAUAUUCGUAGCUAUGGUUACUACUAACAUGCAGCGAGUCGGCUGCUCCGCGUGUCGCCACUCUGCAGAACGCGUCUACAUCAAUCGGCCGCCGCACGCAUCGCCACUCCGCAGGAUGCGUCUUCAUCAUUCGGCCGUCCCGCAUGUCGCCACUCCGCAGGAUGCGUCUUCAUCAUUCGGCCAUCCCGCAUGUCGCCACUCCGUAGGAUGGGUCUUCAUCAUUCGACCGCCCCGCGCGUCGCCAUACAAUCGGACACGACGAAAUCAAUCGGCUGCCCCGGGCAUCAUCACUCAAUCGGACGCGUCGUCAUCACUCGGCUGCUCUACGGGCCGUCGCUCAGUCGGACGCGUCGUCAUCAAUCGGUCGCCCCGUGCGCCGUCCCUCAGUCGGACACGUCGUCAACACUCGACCACCCCAUGCGCCGUCGCUCAGUCGGACGGGUCAUCAACACUGGCCGCCCCGUGCGCCGCCCCUCAGUCGGACGCGUCGUCAUCACUCGGCCGCCCUGCAUGCCAUGCUCAGUCAGACGUGUCGUCAGCACUCGACUGCUUCACGCGUCGUUAGCCAGCUGAGUCAUUCUUCGCACAGUGCAUUCAGUUAAAUAAUUAUUUAUGCAUUACCGAGUGUCGAGGAAGUCGCACAUGACGUUCACUCGGAGGCCACGCCACUGAGUGUACCUCUGCACUCGGUUGUUUAUUUUUAUGUGUGAACACUUCACUUCCGCUUCGUUUGGGUCCAGUACUCAAACGAGUUCAGCCGGAUCCUUCACUCUUUUAGACUCUUGCUGGUUCCAAACCAGCAAUCACGUGGCACACCCAGCGGGUGUCUAUAGGUGCAAUUUACACAAACUAUUUCAGAAAAGAUCAUAUUACUUUGAUAAUUUUUUAUGCUGACUUGUGCUAUUUUUCAUACACAGGUUACUCGACGCAUCUGUGCGCCAUCCUCGUCGCUACUCAGGCUCAGUCGCCGCAACAAUCAUUUGUGCGUUUUCACGUGUACGGAAGCCCUUCGAUGACGUAGUGGACACGGCCGCCCAGCGUGCCAUCAGUGGGUCGGACGCCUCCUCGACAUAUAUCACUUGGACGCCCCGCGCGUUGCCACUCAGUCGGACUCGUCUACCUCACUCGGAUGCCCCACGCAUCGCCACUCCGUGUGGCACAUCUUCAUCACUCGGACACCCCGCGCGCCACCGCUGGACUUAGCUGCAACUUCGUAUCGCCUAAGUUAAAAACUACUCCGAGUAUGGACACGCUCCACACUUGGGGGCUUAGAUGCGACUCUGUAUCGCCUAAGUUAAAACUACUCCGAGUACGGACACGCUCCACACUCGGGGGUUUAGCUGCGACUCCGUAUCGCCUAAGUUAAAAAAUAACUCCGAGUGCGGACAUGCUCCACACUCGGGGACUUAGCUGCGACUCCGUAUCGCCUAAGUUAAAAACUACUCCGAGUAUGGACACGCUCCACACUCGAUGGGCUUAGCUGCGACUCUGUAUCGCGUAAGUUAAAAACAACUCCGAGUGCGGACAUCUUCCACACUCGAGGACUUAGCUGCGACUCCGUAUUGCCUAAGUUAAAAACUACUCCGAGUAUGGACACGCUCCACACUCGGGGAACUUAGCUGCGACUCCGUAUCGCCUAAGUUAAAAACAACUCCGAGUGCGGACAUGCUCCACACUCGGGAGCUUAGCUGCGACUCCGUAUCGCCUAAGUUAAAAACAACUCCGAGUGCGGACAUGUUCCACACUCGGGGACGUAGCUGCGACUCCGUGUCGCCUAAGUUAAAAACAACUUCGAGUGCGGACAUGCUCCACACUCGGGGGGCUUAGCUGCGACUCCGUAUCGCCUAAGUUAAAAACAACUUCGAGUGCGGACAUGUUGCACACUCGGGGACUUAGCUGUGACUCCGUGUCGCCUAAGUUAAAAACAACUCCGAGUGUGGACAUGUUCCACACUCGGGGACUUAGCUGCGACUCCGUGUCGCCUAAGUUAAAAACAACUCCGAGUGCGGACAUGUUCCACACUCGGGGGCUUAGCUGCGACUCCGUAUCGCGUAAAUUAAAAACAACUCUGAGUGCGGACAUGUUCCACACUCGGGGACUUAGCUGCGACUCCGUAUCGCCUAAGUUAAAAACAACUCCGAGUGCGGACAUGUUCCACACUCGGGGACUUAGUUGCGACUCCGUAUCGCCUAAGUUAAAAACAACUCCGAGUGCGUACAUGUUCCACACUCGGGGACUUAGUUGUGACUCCGUAUCGCCUAAGUUAAAAACAACUCUGAGUGCGGACAUGCUCCGCACUCGGAGGCUUAGCUGCGACUCUGUAUCGCCUAAGUUAAAACUACUCCGAGUACAGACACGCUGCACACUCGGGAACUUAGUUGCGACCCCGUAUCGCCUAAGUUAAAAAAUACACUUGGAGACUCGACUUUGAUCCAGAAAUCAUAUAAAGCAGAUUCAACAAACAUUCAACAUGACAAGCAUUGGAAGUCUUAAACCCCCUGCCAGACUCAUCUAGUCCGACAGAGGCUCGGGGACUACACCCAGUGGGUGCACUGAGCGUGCCCCCACAGGAAGAGAAAUACAAAAAAGAAACAUUCUGCUUGGUCAGGUCCACCAACAACAUCCAAGUUCAACAGAUUCAACAGAUUCCAACCGACUACCAGCAGUCAGUCAGAGUCUCAAGAUCCUGUUGGUCACUCGGAUCUACUUCAAUUCUUAAGUUCACUCGGACGUACUACUCAGCGGAAUCGAUCAGGGCGAAUGAUGAAGACUUCAAUAAACGCAUAAUUUUGCAAGGCCCUGAAGCACGUUCAAGUUCGGUCUGCUGCUACAAGAUUUACAUCGACACCUUCACCACUCGGGGUCUCGGACCCUGAUCCAUUCGGGGGCUAAUGACGGGGAUAUAGCCCUAGGGUAGGGUCAUAGGUCUGACCAAUACGUCCUACCCAAGGGCACCUCAUUAUUAGUUUAAGGACUACAAGGGAAAUUCCUACUGGAUCGUGACAACAUGUAAUCCACUCGGUACGGAUCCACUCAGACAAGUACAUUCCAUCCACUCGGAUGACAGUCAACCACUCGGCCGUAUGACUCACUCGGUCAUGCAAAUACCAACAGUCGGCAAGACAUCUGUAGUGGGCUGACAUUAUGGCAUCAAUGCCCCAUCUUGUAACAUAAGAGGUGAGGAGGUGGCGCACUCUAUAUAAGCCACCCCCCNNNNNNNNNNNNNNNNNNNNNNNNNNNNNUUCCUACUGGAUCGUGACAACAUCUAAUCCACUCGGUACGGAUCCACUCAGACAGGUACAUUCCAUCCACUCGGAUGACAGUCAACCACUCGGCCGUAUGACUCACUCGGUCAUGCAAAUACCAACAGUCGGCAAGACAUCUGUAGUGGGCUGACAUUAUGGCAUCAAUGCCCCAUCUUGUAACAUAAGAGGUGAGGAGGUGGCGCACUCUAUAUAAGCC
rnacentral:lncRNA from 1 species